GUCCUGUGGUUGCUGGGUGCUAUUGUUCAAAUACAGCUUUUCAGUCGAUGCCAAUGGGUCAGAGUAAUAUAGUGAUGUAUGCAUGGGGGCUGUUCCUUUUCAGGAGCCUCCAUAGCCUGGUCACUGGUACACAA
ensembl:snoRNA